GCCAGGCACAGUGGCACAUGCCUAUAUUGCCAGUUGUUUGGUAGGCUGAGGUAGGAGGAUCACUUGAGCAUAGGAGUUUUGGGCUGUAGUAUGCCAUGCCGAUUUGGUGUUGCAUUAAACUCAACACCGAUACAGUGACCUCUUGGGAGCCAGGAACCACCAUAGUAUUGCCUAAGGAGGGGUGAACCAGCCCACCUUGGAAAGGGAGCAGAUCAGAACUCCUGUGUUGAUCAGUGUGGGAUUGUGCCUUUGAAUAGCCACUGCACUGUCUAGCCUGGGCAAUAUAGCAAGAUCUUGUCUCU
rnacentral:SRP_RNA from 1 species